rnacentral:rRNA from 1 species
CGGAGGGGCGUAGCGUUGUUCGGAAUUACUGGGCGUAAAGCGCACGUAGGCGGACUGGAAAGUUAGGAGGUGAAAUCCCAGGGCUCAACCUUGGAACUGCCUUCAAAACUACCCAGUCUAGAGUUCGAGAGAGGUGAGUGGAAUUCCGAGUGUAGAGGUGAAAUUCGUAGAUAUUCGGAGGAACACCAGUGGCGAAGGCGGCUCACUGGCUCGAUACUGACGCUGAGGUGCGAAAGCGUGGGGAGCAAACAGGAUU